GCAUAUCAAUAAGCGGAGGAAAAGAAACUAACAAGGAUUCCCCUAGUAACUGCGAGUGAAGCGGGAAAAGCUCAAAUUUAAAAUCUGAGGGUCUUUAUGGCCUUCCGAGUUGUAAUCUAGAGAAGUGCUAUCCGCGCUGGACCGUGUACAAGUCUCCUGGAACGGAGCGUCAUAGAGGGUGAGAAUCCCGUCUUUGACACGGACUCCCAGGGCUUAUGUGAUGUGCUCUCAAAGAGUCGAGUUGUUUGGGAAUGCAGCUCUAAAUGGGUGGUAAAUUCCAUCUAAAGCUAAAUAUUGGCGAGAGACCGAUAGCGAACAAGUACCGUGAGGGAAAGAUGAAAAGAACUUUGGAAAGAGAGUUAAACAGUACGUGAAAUUGUUGAAAGGGAAACGCUUGAAGUCAGUCGCAUUGGCCAGGGAUCAACCUUGCUUUUGCUUGGUGUAUUUUCUGGUUAAUGGGUCAGCAUCAAUUUUGAUCGGUGGAAAAAGGUCAAGGGAAUGUGGCAUCUUCGGAUGUGUUAUAGCCCUUGGUUGCAUACAUCGGUUGGGAUUGAGGAACUCAGCACGCCGCAAGGCCGGGUUUUUAACCACGUACGUGCUUAGGAUGCUGGCAUAAUGGCUUUAAUCGACCCGUCUUGAAACACGGACCAAGGAGUCUAACAUGCACGCGAGUGUUUGGGUGGAAAACCCGAGCGCGUAAUGAAAGUGAAAAUUGAGAUCCCUGUCGUAGGGAGCAUCGAUGCCCGGACCAGACCUUUUGUGACGGAUCCGCGGUUGAGCGUGUAUGCUGGGACCCGAAAGAUGGUGAACUAUGCCUGAAUAGGGUGAAGCCAGAGGAAACUCUGGUGGAGGCUCGUAGCGAUUCUGACGUGCAAAUCGAUCGUCAAAUUUGGGGUAUAGGGGGCGAAAGACUAAUCGAACCAUCUAGUAGCUGGUUCCUGCCGA
rnacentral:rRNA from 1 species